AUUGAACGCUGGCGGCAGGCCUAACACAUGCAAGUCGAACGAGUGGCGGACGGGUGAGUAAUGUCUGGGAAACUGCCUGAUGGAGGGGGAUAACUACUGGAAACGGUAGCUAAUACCGCAUACCAUCGGAUGUGCCCAGAUGGGAUUAGCUAGUGGGUGGGGUAAAGGCUAACCUAGGCGACGAUCCCUAGCUGGUCUGAGAGGAUGACCAGCCACACUGGAACUGAGACACGGGCCAGACUCCUACGGUAGGCAGCAGUGGGGAAUAUUGGACAAUGGGCGCAAGCCUGAUGCAGCCAUGCCGCGUGUAUGAAGAAGGCCUUCGGGUUGUAAAGUACUUUCGGCGGGGAGGCGGUAUCCGCAGAAUAAGCACCGGCUAACUCCGUGCCAGCCGCCGCGGUAAUAC
rnacentral:rRNA from 1 species